GGCCACCUAUCGAGGAACGAGAAUCAUCUAUAGACUCCAAAGAAAUUUUCAAACUAAGGCAGUCCACUUCAAGCACAAUAUUCUCCUGGCUCAACUCUAUAGCGAGCUCCAAGCCUUCUUUCACUGCCAUUGCUUCCGCAGUCAGGGCAUCGGUAUAUGAUCAAACUAGCGUACCGCCACUACUACCACCCCACCAGAGUGGUCUCUUACUACCACACCACUGCUCCCU
rnacentral:lncRNA from 1 species